AAGUCUGUAUUUUUAAAAGCAACUAAGGUUAUGUUCACACGGAACCAGACGGAUUGAAGAGACGUGCUUGAAUUCGUCUGGUCACAGGUCUGUCGUUCACAUGAUGAACAUUUGGACCCAUCUUAUAUUUCGACAGAGGUGAUCGGGCGAUUUAGAUGACUAUAGAAAGGUCUUAUUCCAUUAAUUAAUAUACCAACCCCAGCGUUUGUUCAGGGAUGGAUUCACCCAGAGGUAAUUGCUGCGAAAAAUGUUGCUUGUGACGUAUUGUUUCCGAUGAUAACACGGAAAUAUGUCACCUAAACAUAUCGUAAGUUCCGGCUUGUCAAUUUAUAGCAUGACGGGGUCAUCUUAUACUAUAACAACAUAUACAUCAAUAACUGCUUGAUUUGUUACAACAACAGAUAUUACCAACCGUGAUUACUUAACUACAGAAGAAUUAAGAAGAUCAGUCAUUACCACAAGGGUACAUCCUAAGGAGAACCUGUCUUGUCAGACGAAAUACGAUACGAGAGAUUAGGCGUACAUGAAAGAGCUGAGCACAACCAGAGAGAGGAGACUCUUUGGAAACAUUCUUGGCUAUCUGGAGAUCACAUUAGACAAUAAAUUGUGCACGACAAUUUUCGGCUGAAUGUGCAGUAUGGCGGGGCAGUCACAGAACGAGGAACCAAACACAAGCAAAAUUUGCAACGACACACAUUUGAAAGAGGUGAGAUUUUGUGAUGAUAUUGAGGUGCAUUACGUUCCAUCACGAACCUUCUGGCAAAGAAUGAAAACGAACAUCAAAUAUUCACCGCAACAUUUCAAAAGGAAAGUUAAAUCUAUGAAAAACUCUGUUUCAGAUUCGUAUCAUGUCAUGGUUGAGCUACUAACGUAAUCAGUAUUCAGCAUAAGUGAUUUAGCGGAAUAAUUUAAUACGAAAGUUGAAAGGAAGGAAAAGUGGGACCGUGAAUGGUUUGAAAGACAAAUGGUUUGAACACAAAAAUGUGAAAAUCUCAUCUAUCCAAAAAGUUCACAAAUCUGGUCAAUGUGAAGCAACAGUGCAGUCAUUUUGAGACAGAACUCUAAAAUCACCAUGCACUACAUGCAGUCAUGUGAACUAAUUAUAAAUCAUCUUCUUAUGUAAUUUAAGCAGUAUAUUUAUC